AGCAGGCUGAGGGAGAUCAGGGAAUCAGAGGAUGAAAUUGACAGGUAUUUCCUUUCCCUGUAGGGCCAUGCACCAAAGGGAGAAGAACCCGAGGAGGUGCCCUCCACAGCAGAAUGGCAGAAGGUUCUGUCCAGAGCCCGGGCUGCUCGUGGUGGUGUAGUACCAGCUCCCCCAGUCCAGCUGGGGAACAGGUAUGAGGCCCUGGUGACAUUGGAGGAAGAGGAAAGUGAGGCGGAAACCUCUGGUGAGGAGGUCACUCCACGCACAGAAUGGGCUGAAGGAGGCAAGUCAACCCGGAAGAAGAGACGCCGGGUGCUCGUCAUAGGUGACUCCAUCCUGAGAGGAACAGAGGGUCCCAUCUGUCACCAGGAUCCCAUGACACGCGAGGUCUACUGUCUGCCCAGAGCGCGGAUUCAGAAUAUGAUGGAGAUGAUCCCGGCCCUCAUCCAGCCCACUGAUUACUACCCGAUGGUCCUAAUCCAUGUGGGCACUAAUGAUGCAGCCAGGAGCAGUCCAGAUCGCCUGAUGAAGGACUACCAAGCUCUGAGGGGCAAGAUGAAGAAGAUAGGGGCACAGGUGGUCUUCUCAUUGGUCCUUCCAGUAAGCAGGAGUGGAAGGCUCCACGAGACCUGCAUCUGGGGCGUCAACUUGAGGCUUCGGGAAUGUUGUGUCACAGCGGGCUUUGGCUUUCUGGACCACAACCCAUACUUCAGAACAAGAGACAUGCUUGGGUGGGAUGGGCUUCACCUCUUCCCCAAAGGUUAAGCGUGUGUUCUCUUUCAGGUUGGCUGAUCUCCGGUGGCCUUUAAACUAGGCACAUGGGGGGAAGGGAAGGAAGAGGACCAAGGGAGCCAGAGAACACAGAACCAAGAGACACCUACAAGAACAGCCCAGCUGAGACAGGAGAUGAGUACAAGAAAUACCCAGAAUCCUAAAUCUGCCCAGAGUGUCUGGACUCCAGCAGGAGAUACAGUUCCAGCUUUUAACUGAGUGGCUAAGAACCACUGACAAUUCAACUGGAGAGAGGGUUCAAAUUGUAGCUUUUGCCUGAGCAGGAAAAAGAAGAGUGAGCUAAAGAUCUCUGCUCUGUCCCUACUCUAUGUGGCCAUGAGUCUGGAAAAAAAUAUUUUUCUCUUCAUUCUGCUAUCCCAAAAACAAUGUGUGUGUCUUAUUUGGCAGCAUUGGGUUUAUGAGAAAAUUCAACAUUUCCUCCAGGAUUUUUUUUUAAUUGCCUUGAGAAGAAUAUAUUCAACUGGUACUUUUAAACUUCCUGGUAGCUGGAAAAGUGACCAGACCACCUAUGAUUGUAGUACCAGAUCAUUUGGGUGAGUUGGACAUUUCAAGCAUUUUUACACAUGCAAGCAAUGCAGCUCCAGGCGCUUUGAAAAGUGCCUGGUACUGGGUCACUUGCAGUUGUAUAAGCAGUGAAAUGCGCGUCAGCUCACGGAAAAUGGCAUUGGUAUGCUUUUGAACUAAAACACAAAGAUGAUGUUUUAGUUCAAAGGUGCACCGCUGCCAUUUCCUGCACGCUGACACAUACUUUGCCGUGUAUACAACUGCAAGCGACACAGUGCUCUGGCAUGUCCGGGCACGAAAAUGUAUGUUUAUCAAUGCCCUUCAAUAAUGGCCUGUGUUUUCAUUAUUAUAGAACAGUCGUGUUCAACCUUUUUUGCCCAGCGGGCCAGAAGGGCAGCAGCCAGUCCAUCCACUGGCCAGAUCCAGCUGGUGGUCCCAAUCUGGAAGGACCCCAUCUGGCCAUGCAGAGAGGGGCAGGGUGAAGCCUGGCCCUACUCCAACCACCUGAGGGAAGGGGACUUGGCCCAACCCCAACAUGCCCCAUGGUCAGGGAGGAAGUAUAACUCAGCCCCAACCUAACUGCACAGGAGGAAGGGGUAUGGUUCAGCCCCAAACCAGCUAUGUAGGGGAAGAGGGUAAAGCCCAGCACCAAUCUGGCUAUUUGAAGGAAGGGAGCAUGCUGGCCUAACCCAGCCACACAGGAGGGAAGGGACCAUGGCCCAGUCUGACCCAGUGUGUGGGCCUUGGGAAUUUGGCCACUGGGGAGGGUAGUAAUAUUAAUUGUCACUGCUCCCCCACCACCAAAUUUCCCGACCUAUAGAGAGCCCUGCAGGCUGGGUGCCAUGGCUCUGUGGGCCAGAGGUUAAGUACCCCUGUUAUAGAACUGUCUUGUUUUAAAGAACUGAUAGUUUUGGUGGAGAAAACUGCAGACAAAAUUUUAAGCCUUGAUACCUCAUCAAACACAAGAGAGAACCUGAAAAAAAAACAUUCCUACCUAUGAACCAAACAAGUGGCCCCUCCAUGUGCAGCCCCCUAGGAAAGUCAAUAUCCCAGGCAAAACACCUCUUUAAGGUGGAGAGAAGGCACAACAGAGAUGACAUGUCCAUGUAUGGAUCAUCUUGCCCAGCAGCUAGCAGUAUAACUUCACCCUUGAUUUUUUAUAUCUGAAAAUCCCAGCAUUGAAGCAACCUGGAAUGAUAUCUGAUUAAUUUUGCAACUUGUUGUGGUUUACAUGAAUGCAACUCAUUACUAAGAUAUAAAGACAUCAGCUUUUGCCUAGGAAACCUCAUAGAUAAUCCACUCCAGAAAUUUAUGAUGAAUAUAAAUAAUACAUUUUAACUACUACUCCUUCAUAACCAGAAUGUAGACAUCUGUUUUAGCAUUGUAUUAUCCAUAGUGAGCAGAAAACAAGAUUCAGAAGUUGUGUUACAUCACGUGCGUCUGCUAGUGAGAGCAAUAUAAAUGGUGGGUAUAAUAAGUGGUGGGCAUGGUGUUGGAUGUCUACACUAAAUACUAAGUCUUAACAUUGCUUUCAAAGCAUGCGCACAGAUUAAAAGCUGCCUGUUCUAUAGAAUUCCUGGGAGGACAAACAAAUUGCAUAUUAUUAUAGAUAGCAACAGAGUGUACAUCUGGAGUACUCAGAAUUCUUGGUAGAGGUGAUAUCUUUUAUUAAACCAACUAGAUAGUUGGUUAUUUGCAAGCUGUUCUUCUGGAGUACUGCUUUCAGAAUCCACUCAGACCACUCUACAUUCAGAAAAGGUACAUUCAGACAUCAAGAAGUUGCCAAUUACAGACUGUCAUUCUUGUUAGUCCAUUAUUCUGUCUAUCAUUAGCCAUUAGCAAAUGCUUCAGAGGGAGGUGAAAAAAACUUUGUGGAAAACAGUUAUGGCAUGACCUGCUUGGACAGGGAAUUUCUUUAGUGCUAUCCAUCGGCAGUUGGCUUUUGGCUAAAAGCAUGAGGAUUUAAAUCCUUGUAUUUUAUAUCCUUUGUAACAUAAAUGUGGAUGUCUUCAUUAUUCAUAUUGCUAUUUAGCCAUUUUGAAUGUUUAAUGCUCUUGUGUGAAGGCAAAAAUGUGUUUCCUCUUACCCCAUUAAAAUUACUAGCUUUUCAGUUUCA